UUUUUAAUUUAUUUUUUCUCCUUUCUUCCUCACCUCCCUCCUUCCGCCCAUGCUUGCCAUCUCAUGCUUAGACAGGUCGAUGAUAUUAUGGUCAUUUUACGUCUUUUACAAUGGGCAUUUUGAACAUUUGACAUGUAGAUUUCUUUGGGCAUGGUGACGGUGAUAAUCACGAGGCAAAUUUGAUUAAUGAGAGAAGCUAGAAGCUUCUAGAUUGCAGAAAAAUGAGUUGUUUGUGUUGUGAAAGAAGAAAGCAUGAAGAAAACGGGAGAGGAGAACUUGGAGCAACGACAUUUUCUUUUUUACUUUCUUCGGCUAUUUUUUACUUGCUGCAGAAGUAGGAAAGAGAACUACUAGGGAUGAGUUUCAGACCAGAAAACAUUAUUCCAGGCAUCAUACUGUGUUUCAUAUUUGAGUUGUUGUUGGAUUUGUCAAAGCCCACUAAAACUCUUUCCAAGAAGAAGAAUUUCCUACCUGGAAAGCUUCAAGAACGAGACUUUGUUUCCACUAAUGCCGAACAAGACCUUAAAAUGCAAACAACAUGGUUAUUCUUUGGUGAGUCACUACGUUUAAGUUCAAGUUGGUGACUAUAAAAUUUAUUGGAUAAAAGGAUGAAAUUUCGUUUUCCAUGCGUGGUUUAUAAACCUUUUUGUUUUGUAGAGGUUUUGUGAAUAGACAGUUAAGAUUCUUUUAAUCGUGGAGGCAAGAGGCUUUGAACCCAACAUUGUGAUGCUGAAUGUGUUGAUCAAUGCCUUUGGUAUAGCUGGGAGACAUGAGGAGGCAUUAUCUAUUUACCACCAUAUAAGAGAGUGCGAGCCCUUUAUGUUAUGCAUGGAUAUGGGUGAAUUAGUGUUUUUGUUUUGUCUUUAUUUUUUCAUUUUAGGGUAGGCAUGAUAAUUCGUAAUGUAGGACUCUUGAUUUCCCCCAUUAAUUAAUCUUUCGGGAUACUUUUUUUCUAAUUUUGAUUUUCUAAUUGUUUUGAAGGGUAUUAGCCCCAAUGUGAUUGCUUAUAGCACGGUCAUGAAAGCUUUUAUUCGAGCAAAGAAAUUUGAUAAGGUUCUAACUAUAAUUGAAGUCUCUGAAGUUACUUGAUUAGCUGCAAAUUUAUCACAUGUCAUUUUGCUCAUUCAUGCUUGGCUUUCACUAGCUAGGUUCCGGAGGUUUCGGAAAUAUAUAGGGAUUUCAGCGAAUUUAUCACAGUCUUUGAAGUUACUUGAUUGCUAAUGUAUUUAGAUUUAUG